AAGUCGUAACAAGGUUUCCGUAGGUGAACCUGCGGAAGGAUCAUUACCGAGUUGAUUCGGGCUCCGUCCCGAUCCUCCCACCCUUUGUAUACUAUACCUUUGUUGCUUUGGCGGGCCGCCUAGCUACUGGCUUCGGCUGGUAAGUGCCCGCCAGAGAACCCAAAACCCUGAAUUAUUAGUGUCGUCUGAGUAAAAUAUUUAAUAUUUAAAACUUUCAACAACGGAUCUCUUGGCUCUG
rnacentral:misc_RNA from 1 species